rnacentral:rRNA from 1 species
AUUGAACGCUGGCGGCAGGCCUAACACAUGCAAGUCGAACGGAGUGGCGGACGGGUGAGUAAUGUCUGGGAAACUGCCCGAUGGAGGGGGAUAACUACGCGAAAGCGUAGCUAAUACCGCAUACUAUUGGAGCGGCCGAUCUCGGAUUAGCUAGUUGGUGGGGUAACGGCUCACCAAGGCGACGAUCCGUAGCAGGUUUGAAAGGACGACCGUCCAAACUGGAACUGGGAAACGGCCAAGACUCCUACGGAAGGCAGCAGUGGGGAAUUUUGGACAAGGGGGGAAACCCUGAUCCAGCAAUCCCGCGUGGGCGAUGAAGGCCUUCGGGUUGUAAAGCACUUUUGGCAGGAAAGCGGUACCUGAAGAAUAAGCACCGGCUAACUACGUGCCAGCAGCCGCGGUAAUAC